rfam:Schistosoma rodhaini strain Burundi genome assembly, scaffold: SROB_scaffold0002819
GCACAGCUGAGGAGUCCCACAAUAGGACGAAACGGCCGUCCAGUGC